rnacentral:rRNA from 1 species
GCAGUCGCCGCGGUAAUACGAAGGGUGCAAGUGUUAAUCGGAAUUACUGGGCGUAAAGCGUGCGUAGGCGGUUUGUUAAGUCUGUUGUGAAAUCCCCGGGCUCAACCUGGGAAUGGCAAUGGAUACUGGCAAGCUAGAGUGUGUCAGAGGAUGGUGGAAUUCCCGGUGUAGCGGUGAAAUGCGUAGAGAUCGGGAGGAACAUCAGUGGCGAAGGCGGCCAUCUGGGACAACACUGACGCUGAGGCACGAAAGCGUGGGGAGCAAACAGGAUUAGAUACCCCUGUAGUCCCUGUCUCUUAUAC